CACUCUCAAUCUCACUCGAUACACUCUCGCUCUCACCAUCUCACUCUCACUCGAUUUCCUCAGCCUUCUCCAACGGCAAGGCUCAAAUCGAAGUCGCUAUUGGUCCGGUGGUUUACUCUCUCUACGCGCCGAAGCUUAAGACCGCCUUCAGAACUAGGUCAAGCUCGGGAAUUGAUUCAUCUACAGAAGGUUGAAGAAGUUCAGAGGGUUAAUUGAAUCUAUGCCUUAUCUUCUCCAGCAAAUAUUGUCGUGUCCUAAAUGUGAACACUACUUCUUUGGUCAAACAGAAACCAUUGGUCUUGAAAACUCUGAAACUCGGAGGCAACCUAUUGAGAUUCAGCUAUGUGCAGUUUCUGGGAAGGACUACUAGUUGGCCAGUAACAAAUACCUUUUGCAUUGCAUCCUAUCUUAUGCUCAGAAUGAAGAGGCCUAUGUGAAAUUUGCUAGAUUUGCUCUUGUUUGCUUGCUCGUUGGUCUCAUUGGUUUGGGUAAGUUUAUCAUCCUUUUACUAGUUUCUG